UACGUAGGCAGCAAGCGUUGUACGGAAUUACUGGGCGUAAAGGGUGCGUAGGCGGUUGCCUAAGUUUGGUGUGAAAUCUCCCGGCUUAACUGGGAGGGUGCGCUGAAGACUGGGCGACUUGAGUAUGGGAGAGGAAAGCGGAAUUCCUGGUGUAGCGGUGAAAUGCGUAGAGAUCAGGAGGAACACCUGCGGUGUAGACGGCUUUCUGGACCAAGACUGACGCUGAGGCACGAAAGCGUGGGUAGCAAACAGGAUUAGAUACCCUGGUAGUCCACGCCCUAAACGAUGCAUACUUGGUGUGGGCCUUUCACUUGGUCCGUGCCGGAGCUAACGCGUUAAGUAUGCCGCCUGGGGAGUACGGUCGCAAGGCUGAA
rnacentral:rRNA from 1 species